UUCCAGACUCCUACGGGAGGCAGCAGUGGGGGAUAUUGCACAAUGGGGGAAACCCUGAUGCAGCGACGCCGCGUGUGGGAAGACGGUCCUCUGGAUUGUAAACCACUGUCCCCAGGGACGAAGAUGACGGUACCUGGGGAGGAGGCUCCGGCUAACUACGUGCCAGCAGCCGCGGUAAUACGUAGGGAGCGAGCGUUGUCCGGAAUUACUGGGUGUAAAGGGCGUGUAGGCGGGGACGCAAGUCAGAUGUGAAAACCACGGGCCCAACCUGUGGCCUGCAUUUGAAACUGUGUUUCUUGAGUACUGGAGAGGCAGACGGAAUUCCUAGUGUAGCGGUGAAAUGCGUAGAUAUUAGGAGGAACACCAGUGGCGAAGGCGGUCUGCUGGACAGCAACUGACGCUGAGGCGCGAAAGCGUGGGGAGCAAACAGGAUUAGAUACCCGCGUAC
rnacentral:rRNA from 1 species